CAGCGCCGCGGUAAUACAGAGGUCCCGAGCGUUGUUCGGAUUCACUGGGCGUAAAGGGUGUGUAGGAGGUCGGAUAAGUCAGUUGUGAAAUCCCGCUGCUCAAUAGCGGAACUGCAAUCGAUACUGUCCGGCUAGAGGAUCGGAGGGGGAAGCGGAAUUCUUGGUGUAGCGGUGAAAUGCGUAGAUAUCAAGAGGAACACCGGUGGCGAAGGCGGCUUCCUGGACGAUUCCUGACUCUGAAACACGAAAGCUAGGGGAGCGAAUGGGAUUAGAUACCCCCGUAGUCCCUGUCUCUUAUACA
rnacentral:rRNA from 1 species